CUACGGGAGGCUCCAGUGGGGAAUAUUGGACAAUGGGGGAAACCCUGAUCCAGCAAUGCCGCGUGUGUGAAGAAGGCCUGCGGGUUGUAAAGCACUUUCGGUUGGGAGGACUGCUUCUAGCACUAAUAUUGUUGGAAGUUGACGUUACCUUCAGAAGAAGCACCGGCUAACUCCGUGCCAGCAGCCGUGGUAAUACGGAGGGUGCAAGCGUUAAUCGGAAUUACUGGGCGUAAAGCGCGCGUAGGCGGCUAGAUCAGGCGGGUGUGAAAGCCCCGGGCUUAACCUGGGAACUGCAUCCGAUACUGUCUAGCUUGAGUACAGGAGAGGAGAGUGGAAUUCCACAUGUAGCGGUGAAAUGCGUAGAUAUGUGGAGGAACACCAAUGGCGAAGGCAGCUCUCUGGCCUGAUACUGACGCUGAGGUGCGAAAGCGUGGGGAGCAAACAGGAUUAGAUACCCGCGUAGUC
rnacentral:rRNA from 1 species